AAGUUUUAUUUUGGUUUUAAAAAUUAUUAUUAGUUUAAUUUAUAUGUAAAUUUUUAUAUUAAUUAUUAUUUAUUUUAAAAAUAUUUAAUCAUAUUUUAUUUUCAAUAAUUAAAAUUAUUAAUUAAGGAAACUUAUAUAUAGUAAUAUUAAAAAGUAUUUACUAAAUUUGUGCCAGCAGUUGCGGUUAUACGAAUAAUACGAAUAAUUUUUUUUUUAGUUAAAGUUAAAUUAAUUUGAAUAAAAAAAAUCAUUAAGUUUAUUAAGUGAAAUUUUAAAUUUGUUAAUUUUUUAAUAUAAAUAAUUGAAACUUGUAAAAUUUAAUAAUAAACUAGGAUUAGAUACCCUAUUAUUUAAAAAAUAAAUAAAAAUUAAGGUAGUAUUAGUUAUUUUCUUUAAACUUAAAAAAUUUGGCGGUAUUUUAAUCUAUUCAGAGGAAUUUGUUAUGUAAUCGAUAAUCCACGUUGGACCUUGCUUAAGUUUGUAAUCAGUUUAUAUACCGUUGUUAUUAGAAUAUUUUAUAAAAAAGUUAAUUUUCAAAAUUUUUAAAAUGAAAUAAUAUCAGAUCAAGGUGUAGCUUAUAUUUAAGUAUAAAUGGAUUACAAUAAAAUUAUUUAUAUGAAUAUAAAUUUGAAAAAUUUAUUAAAGGUGGAUUUGAUAGUAAAAUUAUAGAGAUUAAUAAUUUGAUUUUAGUUCUAAAAUAUGCACACAUCGCCCGUCACUCUUAUUUCUAAAAUAAGAUAAGUCGUAACAAAGUAGAUGUACUGGAAAGUGUAUCUAGAAU
rnacentral:ncRNA from 1 species